rnacentral:rRNA from 1 species
CAUGCAGUGGAGCGACGAACCAGGCUUCGGCCGGGGGCAAAGCCGCGAACGGGUGAGUAACACGUGGGUAACCUGCCCUGAUGAUCGGGACAACCCGGGGAAACCCGGGCUAAUACCGAAUGUGACCACGAGCCACAAGGCUCGUGCGGAAAGGAAGCUUCGGCCUCCGCAUCGGGAUGGGCCCGCGGCCCAUUAGCUUGUUGGUGGGGUAACGGCCUACCAAGGCGACGAUGGGUAGCUGGUCUGAGAGGACGAUCAGCCACACUGGGACUGAGACACGGCCCAGACUCCUACGGGAGGCAGCAGUGGGGAAUCUUGCGCAAUGCGCGAAAGCGUGACGCAGCAACGCCGCGUGGGGGAAGACGGCCUUCGGGUUGUAAACCCCUUUCAGUUGGGACGAAGCUCCGUCGGUUAAUAGCCGGCUGGAGUGACGGUACCUUCAGAAGAAGCCCCGGCUAACUACGUGCCAGCAGCCGCGGUAAUACGUNGGGGCAAGCGUUGUCCGGAAUCAUUGGGCGUAAAGAGCGUGUA